GUAUGUCCAAAAGAUGAUUGAUUUGAUCACUCAUCUGAGACAACUGGAUUUUACCAUAGAUGGUGAACUGAGCUAGGAUUUGAUCCUGCAAUCUCUUCCUGACUUCUUUUCUCAAUUUAUCAUUAAUUAUCAUAUAAACAAACUGAAUAUCAGUUUGCUUGAGCUGCUGAAUAUGUUAAAAUAGUAGAGAGCCAUUUCAAGGGUGAAAAAGCUCAGAUUCUUCAUGUUGAUAAGAUCAGCAAGAUGAAGGCGAAGAAGGGUUAU
rnacentral:lncRNA from 1 species